AGCGGCUGCUCUAAGGACCACCCUCCAAUCUUCCUCCCCAUGAUGAAGUCGCUUUUCAGAAAACAUCAGAGGUGCCCCAUAAAACAGAUUUGGCCAAAGUGACAAUGGUGCGUAUGUGACUCAUUCCUACCUGCAAUCUGUUAGGAGAAAGAGAGUUCACUGUUACAAGAGAGAAACUGUUUUGGGAUCUAGGACAGGCACCAGUGGAACCUGAAUCAGAAUCACCCUCAUGUUGGAUCCAGACCCAUAUGACUGUCUUUCCUCUGCAGAGCAAAAAAGGAGAUGCUAGGCAAAAUGUAACUGUGUGUUCCAGAGAGAGGUCACUUUCCCUGGGCCCGGUGAACUCUAGCUGAUACUUGUCUGUUGGAGGAAUUUCAGUGGGUUCUGGAACAGGACCAUUUUUUUUUUUUUUUUUUUUUUUAAUUCAGCAAGUUCACUUGACAAGGCUUAACCUCCUUAUAAAUAAAAUGUUUCAUUGUAUCAAUUCUGCAGUUAAAUUAUAGGAGUCUUGAAAGGUUUAUAGCAUAACUAUGCUCCCAUUUCACUCUACAAAUGAAAAUCAGAAUAGUACACACAAGUCAGAGAUUAUGAAAAGUGAAGAAAAUAAAAAUGAACA